rnacentral:rRNA from 1 species
UACGAAGGGAGCUAGCGUUGUUCGGAAUUACUGGGCGUAAAGCGCGCGUAGGCGGAUUAUUAAGUUAGGGGUGAAAUCCCAGGGCUCAACCCUGGAACUGCCCUUAAUACUGGUAAUCUAGAGUUCGAGAGAGGUGAGUGGAAUUCCGAGUGUAGAGGUGAAAUUCGUAGAUAUUCGGAGGAACACCAGUGGCGAAGGCGGCUCACUGGCUCGAUACUGACGCUGAGGUGCGAAAGCGUGGGGAGCAAACAGG